UCUGGAGCUUGUCUCUUCUGCGAUGGGCUCUAACAUGGAGGAGGGCUGCUGCAAAAAAUAUGAAACACAGAAGAUCCCACUAGCAAUGGUGGUCUCCUGGCAUGAAACCAGCAGCAGCUGUGCCAAAGCAGCCUAUGUGUUUGUUACCAAACGCGGAAGGCGCAUAUGUGUGGAUCCUACUGAUGCUUGGGUGAGGAGCCACGCAGCUCAGGUGGACAGCAGGUCAGCCUCCACUGUAGUGCCAGGAACCAGCGAGAUGAACACUAAAGCCUAAGGCCAGCCCUAACACCCCAGCGGGCUGUCAAUCUGUACGAAGACUUCCUGUUGGACACUGCGAUGGGACACACAAAAACAUAAGAGAGGAAUGUAUCUAAUUACAUCUGAUAUUCCUGGAUUUAAUUCAUGCAAUAUUGUCUGUUCUUUUCCUGUUCAUAAUGCAUUGUUUCUUUUCCUACAUUCAUUUUUCUGUUUUAUAAUUUGUACAUAAUUUUUUUUCCAGGAAACUUAUUAAAUGCUUUUGUAACAAACUUUGUUUCUUGUUUAAAGUUUUUUGAUUAUUCCUGCUGAAAUUCACAAAGCAGGAAAAAAAUCCUUACAGUACAGCAACUUUACUAAACAUUGCAACAUGUGCAUGUUUGUUGCACAUCACAAACUAAGAUCUAAGAUAAAGUGUACUUACAGCAAACAUUGCCAGUUCAAUGUUCAGCUCAAAUUGCUGAUUUGUUUUAGAUUGUGUUCAAACAAGGAUGUGACUUAUGCCUGGAGAAAAGUCACAAGUCACGUGAAUUUUAGCAAUAAAAUUUAACACUUUUUGGUCAUUUGCUAUAAAAGGUGACUGCUGCACCAUCCAGUAACAACUUUGUAUCAGUUUAAUAUCAUCAUUUUUAAAUAUUACAAUAAAACUAAAUGCCAGUAUUCAUAUGAUUUGUAUGAUCAGGCCAGCUUCAUAUCAUUUUGAAUUUUUCAACAGUAAUUAAGUGUUCAAAAUAUCAAAGAGUGCUCAUACUUAAACCUCUCACAUCAGAAUAACUGUUAUCAACAGUAAAAAUGAAAAACUGAUUCAUGGUGUUACACAUUCAGCUUUCCUUGACAAUUGCAGUCAUUUGUCUUUAGUUUUUAAUGACAGUGGCCACAUGUUCACAUUUUCUGCAACCACAAGAGGACAUGGAUAGUUUUUGUAUUUAAAGAGACCAGUGUACAGUUAAUAUUCUUUUGUUAAGCAUUGAGUUGCAAGGUAAAAAGCUAAAAUAUGUUGCUUUUUAUUGACUCACAGAGAAAAUGCAGCCAGUGAAAAAGAGAUUAAAUGAAAAUAAAAAUGAGUGGAGCCUUGCUGGGCAGAAGCAUAAAUGAAAACAUUUAUAUAUCUGUAGUUUUCAAGUUAUAUUGUAACCAUCUAGAAGCAGCAUACAGCAUGAUGGAAACAGGAACAGUUAGAUGUUGAAUAAAGAACACACUUAUCCAAAAACCAAAAUAAAUUGCAUGAAUGCAAUAAAAACAGAUGUGUGCGGGACAAAAAAUUAUUUCAUGGUCAGUACAGGUUCUAGCUACAUCAACUUGGGCCUACUCGUUAGUGCACUAUGGAGUCUCAGCAUAGUUCUAAGUGCAUAAAAUAAGCAUAGAGGGCGUUCCUUGCCAUGUGCCGCUCGAUUUGGCAAAAUCAGAUUGGCAAUAAAAAUCAUAAAACAUUAACAAAGAUUUUCUAUAAAUUUUCAAAUGCAGCGUUAACCCCAAUCCCGUACAUCGCACAAACUGAUGGCCCAAUAAAACCCUAGUUUUUAGAUUUAACAGCUAAAGCAUACAAACUAGAAUUACAACGAAGUAAACUCCUUAUAUUGUGCAAAUGCACAUUUGGCAUUACUAAAAUGGAAGGAUUGGCUUUUCGCAUGCAAAUCCAAAAAAUAAAAGGUUGAUUUCUGGACAAUUAAAAUUAGGCAGACCUUAAUUAAUCAGGGCCUUAAUCAUUAUCUUAACCCUUGUGUAAUCUUCAUAUCAUGCAAAUCCCUUGUUCACAGGGUAAAAAAUGACCCACCCUCACUGGGCCUCUAUGAUAAAGCCUCUCCCAUUAAUUUUAAACCCCAAAUCUAUUUUGCAUGUCAAAACAACCUGUUGCACAAAUAGGUGAAUAACUGUGUUUUCCGACUAUACAGACCAGAGAGACUAUUGACACCACUGGUUUUUCCUACAAACACACAUCAUUAUUUAUUUAUUUAUUAAUUUUUAUUUGCUGAAAGGGAUGUGUGGUGCUUAAUGCUGAUUAAGAAUCUCUAUAUUUGUAUGUGUGAAGUUGCAAGCAGUUGUGAACCCUUUGGAAUUUUCUGGAUUUCUGCAUUAAUUACUCAUUAAAUGUGGUCUGAUCUUCAUUUAAGUCACAAUAAUAGACAAACACAUUCUGCUUAAACUAAUAUCACAGUUUUCGCACUGUGGGUGUCCUCCCAUGAAUACCAUCAUUGUUUAGUGUUUUUCUUAUAGAGGAUACAUGAACAGAGACUUUAGCAAGUUCAAGAGAUUUCUGGGCGAGUACCCUAUUUCUUUUUGGCUUCCCUUAGGACUGCAUGAUGUGCUGUUGUGAUCUUUGCCCCCUCCUGGAGAGAGUAGCAAAAGUACAGAAUUUCCUCCAUUUGUAGGCAACUUGGCUUAUUGCGGAUUUAUGAACACCCUGGCCUUUAGAAAUACGUUUGUGGCCCUUUCCAGUGUUAUGCAUCUCUAAAGUUAUUCUUCUAAGGUCCUCUGAAAAUUGUUUUGAUCAACAAGUUUAUACAUACACUACAUUUCCAAACGUAUGUGGACAGCAGGCUUGGCAAUCAAAAUUAUUUGUAGUAAAGUUCUCACAGACAUGUCAAAUGGAUUCAUUUAUUCAUUCAUUUCUUAUUCAGUACAAUAGAAAUAUGUCAGCUUCAGAUCCAACAGUAGUCCAGUAGACCCAGUGGUCUAUUAACUGAAAUCACUUGUGCUCUGUAUGAGCACCUCAGAUGCUUGAAGAAGAAGAUAGAAUAAAAUGCCAUAGUAAGGCCAAAUCUUAGGAAAGGAAACACAGGAACAACAUGAUGCGUUUUCUUUGACAUCUGACACCCCUUACUGCAGAAGCUGUAUUCUCUGUAACAGAACAGAAGCGCUACUUAGAACCCAAAAAAAGAGGAAGAAGAGAAAUUAAAGAUGUUCUCCUGGUAAAGCUGGUUCGUAUGAAGAAAGGGGGCUCCAGGGGAGUUCUGAGGAGGAAUUCCCCAUCCCUGAUUUCCAUCUCUUUAUACAGUAUAUAUAACGAGAGAUUCUGUCAUCUCACCCAGCACAGCUCCUCUCUCUGAUCCAGAGUCCAGCAUCUCCUCUCUCUCUGCUUGCAGUCUCCAGUCAAAAUGAACACAGCGAUGAAACUGAGCGCUCUGCUGAUCCUCGUGCUGCUCGGCUCUCUGGAGCUUGUCUCUUCUGGUAAGGGCUCUAGCGCAGGGGCGGACUGCUGCACAAACUAUGAAACAAAGAAUAUCCCACUAGCAAUGGUGGUCUCCUGGCAUAAAACCAGCAGCAGCUGUGGCAAAGCAGCCU